rnacentral:rRNA from 1 species
UGGCGGCAUGCCUUACACAUGCAAGUCGAACGGCAGCACGGGAGCAAUCCUGGUGGCGAGUGGCGAACGGGUGAGUAAUAUAUCGGAACGUGCCCGGUCGUGGGGGAUAACGUAGCGAAAGCUACGCUAAUACCGCAUACGAUCUACGGAUGAAAGCGGGGGAUCGCAAGACCUCGCGCGAUUGGAGCGGCCGAUAUCAGAUUAGGUAGUUGGUGAGGUAAAGGCUCACCAAGCCGACGAUCUGUAGCUGGUCUGAGAGGACGACCAGCCACACUGGGACUGAGACACGGUCCAGACUCCUACGGGAGGCAGCAGUGGGGAAUUUUGGACAAUGGGCGCAAGCCUGAUCCAGCAAUGCCGCGUGCAGGAUGAAGGCCUUCGGGUUGUAAACUGCUUUGUACGGAACGAAACGGUGAGCUCUAAUACAGUUUGCUAAUGACGGUACCGUAAGAAUAAGCACCGGCUAACUACGUG